GAGGUGGGAGGAUUGCUUGAGCCUGGGAGUUUGAGGCUGCAGUGAGCUGUGAUCAUACCACUGCACUCCAGCCUGAGUAACAGAGUGAGACCCUGUCUCA
ensembl:miRNA